rnacentral:rRNA from 1 species
UACGUAGGGUGCAAGCGUUAAUCGGAAUUACUGGGCGUAAAGCGUGCGCAGGCGGUCAUGCAAGACAGAUGUGAAAUCCCCGGGCUCAACCUGGGAACUGCAUUUGUGACUGCAUGGCUGGAGUGCGGCAGAGGGGGAUGGAAUUCCGCGUGUAGCAGUGAAAUGCGUAGAUAUGCGGAGGAACACCGAUGGCGAUGGCAAUCCCCUGGGCCUGCACUGACGCUCAUGCACGAAAGCGUGGGGAGCAAACAGG